AUACGUAGGUGACAAGCGUUAUCCGGAUUUACUGGGCGUAAAGGGCGUGUAGGCGGUCUUGCAAGUCAGAAGUGAAAUUCCUGAGCUCAACUCGGGCGCUGCUUCUGAAACUGCAGGACUUGAGUGCUGGAGGGGAUAGCGGAAUUCCUGGUGUAGCGGUGGAAUGCGUAGAGAUCAGGAAGAACACCGAUGGCGAAGGCAGCCUGCUGGGGACUUAUCGACGCUGAGGCUCGAAAGUGCGGGUAGCAAACAGGAUUAGAUACCCUGGUAGUCCGCACCGUAAACGAUGCAUACUGGGUGUCCGGGGGUUCCCCCGGGUACCGUAGCCAACGCGUUAAGUAUGCCGCCUGGGGAGUACGUACGCAAGUAUGAAACUCAAAGGAAUUGACGGGG
rnacentral:rRNA from 1 species